rnacentral:rRNA from 1 species
UACGAGGGGGGCAAGCGUUGUUCGGAAUUAUUGGGCGUAAAGGGCGCGUAGGCGGUGCGGUAAGUCACCUGUGAAAACUCUGGGCUCAACUCAGAGCCUGCAGGCGAAACUGCCGUGCUUGAGUGUGGGAGAGGCGCGUGGAAUUGCAGGUGUAGCGGUGAAAUGCGUAGAUAUCUGCAGGAACACCCGUGGCGAAAGCGGCGCGCUGGACCACUACUGACGCUGAGGAACGAAAGCUAGGGGAGCAAACAGG